GGAAUGAUUGAGCUGCACUAUUGCCCCACAGAACUGCAACUUGCUGAUGGUUUUACAAAGGCAGUAAAGCUUGACAUAUUUGAAUUCUUGAGAAAGGAACUUGGUGUUUUUGAUAUUAGGCAGUUAUGAUUAAAGGGGGGUAUUAGUGUAUUAAUAAUAACUGUUUGUAACUAAUUUGGUUAAGUUUGUUUUAAUUUUUCCUAUUAGUUAGAG
rnacentral:lncRNA from 1 species